CAAGCGGAGGAGCAUGUGGUUUAAUUCGAUGAUACGCGAGGAACCUUACCUGGGCUCGAACGUAAGAUGACUGUAGGUGAAAGCUUACAUCUCUUCGGAGCAUUUUACGAGGUGCUGCAUGGUUGUCGUCAGCUCGUGCCGUGAGGUGUCGGGUUAAGUCCCAUAACGAGCGCAACCCCUACCUUUAGUUGCCAUCAGGUAAUGCUGGGGACUCUAAAGGAACUGCCUACGCAAGUAGUGAGGAAGGCGGGGAUGACGUCAAAUCAGCACGGCCCUUACGUCCAGGGCUACACACGUGCUACAAUGGCCGAUACAGAGGGCAGCUACCUGGUGACAGGAUGCAAAUCUCCAAAGUCGGUCUCAGUUCGGAUCGGAGUCUGCAACCCGACUCCGUGAAGUUGGAUUCGCUAGUAAUCGCGCAUCAGCCAUGGCGCGGUGAAUACGUUCCCGGGCCUU
rnacentral:rRNA from 1 species